CCUUUGUACACACCGCCCGUCGCUACUACCGAUUGAAUGGCUUAGUGAGCCUUUGGGACUGGCAGCCAACGCCGGCAACGGCAGCUGGCCGCUGGAAACUUAUGCAAACUUGGUCAUUUAGAGG
rnacentral:rRNA from 1 species